rnacentral:rRNA from 1 species
CCUACGGGAGGCAGCAGUGAGGAAUAUUGGUCAAUGGACGAGAGUCUGAACCAGCCAAGUAGCGUGAAGGAUGACUGCCCUAGGGGUUGUAACCUUCUUUUAUAAAGGAAUAAACCGAGGCACGUGUGCCUUUUUGCAUGUACUUUAUGAAUAAGGAUCGGCUAACUCCGUGCCAGCAGCCGCUGUAAGACGGAUGAACCGAGCAUUAUCCGGAUUUAUUGGGUUUAAAGGGAGCGUAGGUGGGUAUUUUAGUCAGUUGUGAAAGUUUGCGGCUAAACCGUUAAAUUGCAAUUGAUACUGGCAGUCUUUAGGACAGGUGAGGUAGGCGGAAUUCGGGGUGGAGGGGUGAAAC